UAAACAUAUUUUGUACAAUUUUUAUCAUGGCUGCAUUCUGAUAUUCACUGCCAAUACUGAAAAUCCAUAAUUCACGUCACGUAUCCUAUAGAUUUUCAGUACUAGCUGAUAUCGAAAUGCAGUAGUUUUUCUUCUCUCUGACAUCAUCAAUCAAAAAUUCCGCAGCCAGGAGACUUUUUUGUCGUGAUCAGCUUAAAUCGUGAUUUCAAAAGCAGGGAGAAAAAGUUUUGGAAAAUAACCAGGAUUAAGAUAACAAUGUCUGUUAAAUCCAAUUGAUUUCACAGAUGAAGUCUGGCAGUUAUCCUUCCUUGUCCUUAGAUGUUGCAAUUCUGAAUCAAUCUGCAAAUUACGUUAAUCAUAAAUUCUUUUGCGAGAGUCAUGAAUACGCUGCAAAGAAUUUGUAUAAACCAGCUGCCAGUUGUAGUGUCUCUAUAAGCGACGUGUCCAGGUAAAGUAGAGUGAACUAUAAGCAUAUCUGCAUAAUUUCUGAUCAAGAAUUUAUCAGAUACGAUUUUAUCA